GGGSCCRAARGGCCGACUCUCUGGUCUGUAACUGACGCUGAGGAGCGAAAGCGUGGGGAGCGAACAGGAUUARAUACCCUGGUAGUCCACGCCGUAAACGAUGAGUGCUAASUGUUAGGGGGUUUCCGCCCCUUAGUGCUGCAGCUAACGCAUUAAGCACUCCGCCUGGGGAGUACGGUCGCAAGACUGAAACUCAAAGGAAUUGACGGGGGCCCGCACAAGCGGUGGAGCAUGUGGUUUAAUUCGAAGCAACGCGAARAACCUUACCAGGUCUUGACAUCCUCUGACAAUCCUAGARAUAGGACGUCCCCUUCGGGGGCAGAGUGACAGGUGGUGCAUGGUUGUCGUCAGCUCGUGUCGWGAGAUGUUGGGUUAAGUCCCGCAACGAGCGCAACCCUUGAUCUUAGUUGCCAGCAUUCAGUUGGGCACUCUAAGGUGACUGCCGGUGACAAACCGGAGGAAGGUGGGGAUGACGUCAAAUCAUCAUGCCCYUUAUGACCUGGGSUACAYACGUGCU
rnacentral:rRNA from 1 species